rnacentral:lncRNA from 1 species
UGGACUUGCCUGGGGACAACAUCCCAAAGGAUGGCAUCUUGAACUUGGGCAUUUUGAACUUGCUGUCUUUGGCAGUCACGUCCUUGUCAGCCAGGGACAGGUCCCCCUCCAGCCGCGCACCAUCCAGCUUGGCUCUCGGGGCCUGGACGUCCACCUCCACGCUGGGCAGAGACACCUCCACAUCAGGGACUGUCACUUCCGCCUUGGGGACUUUUAGGUCCAGCUUGGGGCCCUUGAUGUCCACCUGGGGGCUCUUGAGGUCCACUUUGGGCAUCUUGAAACUGGGCAUCUCCACCUUGGGCAGGUGCCCUUUGAGGCCAGCUCCCUCGGGCACGUGGCCCUCCGGGAGCUUCACAUCCACCUGGCCAGUCUGGACCUUCAGGUCGGCAGAAGGGGGCUGAAUGCUGAGGUCAGUGGUCUUCAGGUCCCCCUGCAUGGAGGGGAGACUCACGUCGGCCUCCACUUUGGGUGCAGACACAUCCACCGAGGCCUCGAUGGACUUGCCUGGGGCUGACGCCCCG